rnacentral:rRNA from 1 species
ACGGGGAGCACCACAACGGGUGGAGCUUGCGGUUUAAUUGGAUUCAACGCCGGAAAUCUUACCGGACCGACAGCAAUAUGAAGGCCAGGCUGAAGACUUUGCCGGAUUAGCUGAGAGGUGGUGCAUGGCCGUCGUCAGUUCGUACUGUGAAGCAUCCUGUUAAGUCAGGCAACGAGCGAGACCCACGCCCACAGUUGCCAGCGUACUCUCUGGAGUGACGGGUACACUGUGGGGACCGCCGCUGCUAAAGCGGAGGAAGGAAUGGGCAACGGUAGGUCAGUAUGCCCCGAAUAUCCCGGGCUACACGCGAGCUACAAUGGUUGGUACAAUGGGUAUCUACCCCGAAAGGGGACGGGAAUCUCCUAAAACCAAUCUUAGUUCGGAUUGAGGGCUGCAACUCGCCCUCAUGAAGCUGGAAUCCGUAGUAAUCGCGUUUCAACAGAACGCGGUGAAUACGUCCCUGCUCCUU